rnacentral:rRNA from 1 species
AGAGACAGCAGUCGCCGCGGGAAUACGUAGGUGGCAAGCGUUGUCCGGAAUUAUUGGGCGUAAAGGGCUCGCAGGCGGUUUCUUAAGUCUGAUGUGAAAGCCCCCGGCUCAACCGGGGAGGGUCAUUGGAAACUGGGAAACUUGAGUGCAGAAGAGGAGAGUGGAACUCCACGUGUAGCGGUGAAAUGCGUAGAGAUGUGGAGGAACACCAGUGGCGGAGGCGACUCUCUGGUCUGUAACUGACGCUGAGGAGCGAAAGCGUGGGGAGCGAACAGGAUUAGAUACCCCGGUAGUCCCUGUCUCUUAUAC